rnacentral:lncRNA from 1 species
UCCCCGUUCGUCCCCAACUCGCCAAAUCCGCAGCCGCCGCAAGCACAGAGACCCUCUAGAUCGAGCGCGAGCUCCACCCCCGCCGCCGCGAUGAGGGCCAAGGUUCGUCUCGAUUCUGUUCCUCCGCCUCCGUUGCGAUAUCGUUUGCUGUUUCGAUGAUGCCAUGACAUUGCGUAGUAGAAUUAGAGAACUAGUGCUGUCCUAGGGUUUGGUUCUAGAAGCUGUGCUAUGCGUGGUUUCUGCUGAUUUUGUCUUCGAUUCGAACGGUUAUGCUAUGCUGUUCUCUAUGAUGACGAAACACAGAUGACGAGUCUGACGAAAUCCAUUCCAUUAAACCAUGGGGACAAUCGAGGCAUUUGUCUGAGAGAACACUGAUCUGCUAGAAAAAGAUUUGUUUCGUCUAUGUCCUGUUUUAAAUUUCGGUUUAUUUGUUCGCAAUUGUUUCGGCAGUACUGGCAUAAUGAGGAAAAUCCUUAUUUUUCUGAUAUAGUUGAUGAUAAAUACCUCCUACUCAUUCUGAAUGCCAGAACACUGCCUGUUAUCCCUGUUUUGUUUUGUUUUCUUUUUGAAAGAGGUACCUUGUUUUGUUGGUAGAUUAGAUAAGGUUUGUUGGCUUUUGCCAUGUUCACUCUAAUCGGACAGAUUCAGAUCUUUUUUUAGGAAUCCUUAACAUUUUUCGCAAAAAAGAGUAAUCCUUCAUUGCUUGAUGUUGGGAUAUGAUGAAGAACCUUUGGUCCGUGUUUCUGAUCAACCCUUGAUGAGUAAACCACUCCUAAAGAAUCUGAUCCCAAACAAUUUAUAAAAAUAAUUGUGCUUUGUUCUGUAUAUUUAUCUAAUCCGAUAAAUUUGCCUGACACGAAGGAUACUGAUGCAUCUUGGCUUGUUCUGAUGUUCAGUGGAAGAAGAAGAGAAUGAGGAGGCUCAAAAGGAAGCGCCGAAAGAUGAGGCAGAGAUCCAAGUAGGCUUGCCUGGAGGAUGAAGGGAACUGUCUGUUGCAUUGUGACCUAGGCUUGUUAGGAUAAACACCCCGACGUGCUUUGGUGUAGAUGCAGGAGAUGUUUACCUUCUUGGGGUCUAGUUUUAUUUUUAGCUCAUCAAAACUCUGGUCAUGUUCUAAGGCUGGGUUUUAUGUAAUGUGAGGAUAAUAUGUUGCUUUGUGACUGAGUUUAUGCAGUUAAACGAGAUUUCUUGCACUAAAAAAUAUACUUACUGCCUAUCUGUUACCCUUGUGAUCGGUAGUUGUUUCCGUUAUCUGUGCUGUUUUCUCACGCGCUGUGGCAAUUUUCAGAAUCUCAGGAUGUUUUGCAUUGCUCCAUGGUGUAGAUGGAAUAGUUGCUUUGUUUUUGGUUGAGGCAUGACUGCAUCACUUGUUGAUUACAGAGCAGAGAGCGCUGGUGUUUAUGAGUUACAUUGGAUUUGUAUUGCUGUUGAGUUGUUAAUUACUGGAGUUUUAUAUCUCGUAUAGCUCUGGUGUUCUACUUUGCUUCGAUAAAUGAUGCCAUUUUAGCAGGCGAUUCUAAUUCUGCUGUCAGCUCCUGAUAUGUCAUGUUGAGAUCACUCCAUUGAGAUUAUGUGAAUCUUGAACUGUGUGCAAUUCGAAAUUGUAGAAAUAAUUGACUGCUUUGGGAUGGGAUUUGGGUUUGCAAUAUGUGGAGGAACAACAUAGACCUGUCUGGUUCAAACAGGCGUCAGUGAAAAAGCCUUCAGUGAACUCGUGGCGUCGACUCGUGAACUCUGAAACAGAUGAGGUGCAGGUGCACAAUAGAGACGGCUGGCCUCGCACCUGCACCAGCACCACUCCCUUAUCCGCUGGGCCUAGCAUGAAUUUGUUCGUAACCGUUUAUAUUCCUGCCAGCCUGAUCCCUGCACUAGAACUGAGAGCUUCUCAACUCAUCCGUUAAUGGAGGCCAUAGUCAGGGCAGGUGUAUCUUCCUCGGCGCCGGCGCAGCUACGCCCGUGCCCGAUGCCGUGCCGCAACCGCUGCCUACCGUCCUCCGUGCGCCGUCCCGGACGCCGGGGAGUUGCCUGCUCGGCCUCGGCGGCCGACGCCGACGUCGUCGAUCUCUUCGAUGCCGCCAAGCUCACGGUAUGGUAGUGAGAUACCUCACCGUUCGUUCGUGAGCAAGCCGUGUAUGUUCUCCAACGAAUUUUUGUUCUCUGUAGGUGGACAGGUUCGUGCAGAGCGGCAUGGUGGUCGGGCUAGGCUCCGGCCCGGCGUCCGCCCUGGCGGUCCAGUACCUCGGCACGCGCCUCCGCCGGGGAUCUCUCACCGAAAUCGUCGCAGUAACCUCGUAAGUUCUGAAUUUCUGAUUGCCAUUGCAUGAUCUGUUCCUUCUUCGUCACAGACUCAGAGUAACCUAGUAACUCUGAAUUUCUGUUUUCUGAUUGCCACUGCAUGAUCUGUUCCUUCCUUUGUGCAUGAAAGUGCUUCUUUUCUCAUCAGACACUCGAAUCAGUUUGCAUCUAAUCAGCUCUUGGGAUUGAUUGACCAGCCAGGUCCGUGCUCAGUGCGAGCGAGGCAGACAAGGCCGGAAUACGGGCUAGCAGCUAUCAGGAAGGAACCCAAGUGAGUAUGCGCAGUGCUGUACGCCUGUAACCAUCAGCUGUAAACCUCUUCUUACAACACGGGAAGAACAGCAUCUGAAACUGUGCUCUGCUCACUGACGUAUAGAUUGAUUUUGCUUUCACUGAUGCUGAAGUAAUCGAAGAGGGCACGCUGGCUGCCGUCAUCGGGCGGCGCAAGACCGAGAGUGGAGAGCCCUCUUUCAUGGUGGAGAAGGUAUUUGACUACUUAAUCAAUGUCUUCAGAGUUAGCGCGUGCAUGGAUUUCUGAUGGAUAAUCAUUCGUAUGUAGGCAACAGUAAUAGAUGCAUUGCAUAUCUGAACCAUUUAUUUGAUUUCAACCAUGUUGUCCCAUGUGUUAUACAGGCAAUGGUUAAAUCAGCUGAUAAACUUGCCUUCAUCACUGGAAAUGACAAAUACCUGACAGGUGUUGAGGGUUCCAUUCCAGUCAUAGUUAAAAGUGUAAGGAAAAAAAAAUCCUGUUGCUUCAGAUAUGGUCAGUUUUAUACAAUGUUUAUGAAGAGAGGAACAGAUGAUUUCAGGGAAAUUGGAUAGACACUGCUGAAGAGAUCGACGAUUUGUUCCUAGGGGAUGCAGAGGUGCCCUCAUCCAUACGAAUACUCAAUAGUUAAAUUUUCAGAACUCGAAUACCUGCUGGACUGCUGAAACUGAAACGCUCAUGAAUGUUUGGUCACCAUUGUAUGCGAUUUUCUGAUCAGGUUUGGAGGAGGCCAUCAUUUGGGACUGCCGGUCCACUAGGGGGUGAUCACCCAUUGGUCACUAAGGAGGGUCAUCACGUUCUUGAUGUGAUCUUUACGACUCCAAUCCCAGAUCUAGGUAAGCUGAUGGAAGAUCAUUGCAACAAAGGGGCUAAACUCAUCUUGAGUCCAUUAGACCAUUUCUUGGGCCAAAGCUUUAGCUGGUUGCUUUGCCAUAUUUAUUGCAGGUCAGGUAGCAGAGAAGUUGGACAAAGUUGCUGGCGUUGUGGAUCAUGGGAUUAUUUGUAGCAACCAGUAAUUUUCUUAACGCAAGCAUACAGAAUAAUAUUUUUAAUUAAUUUUGUGGGGAUGGUUUACGGAGGUGUGUUUCAGGUUUUCUUUUUCCCCCAAAAAGGUGCUUCUCAGUGUUCUUACACGCUGCAUCUCCUGCCCUGCAGAUCGUAUGCGGUGAUUGCAUCCAAGGGGGAAGUGCAGGUUAUUGAGGAGAAACCCUCGGUGAUACCGUAGCGCUGCAGAAAUCUUCCAGUUGCCUGCAGAGGCGCCAUUUUUCUCCACACAUUCCGGAUAAGAGUACUUCCAGGUUGGCUGGAAAAUGCCUGAGAGUUAAAUAAUAUAGUAGCACCAAAUGUAAUCUCUUCAGUAUCCAACACUCUAUGCACCAGUAUGCAAAACCUUCCACUUCGUGUGCAAUGAAGAUCAACAAAUCUGCAGUCACAGACUGUUAACAUGCCGAAAACACCAUUUUCCAUGGCAGGUUACUGAUAACUAUGCUCGUAGGUCCAAAAAAAUUAGUUGGGCAGCAAAGCAAGUAUGCUUGACAGAAUGUCGACUGACAAAUACUAGCGCUUUGCAAUUUUCAUCCAGGAUACAUAAAAUGGCAGUGUUGAACCGCAGGACUUCCUCUUCCUGGCUUCUUGUCCCACAUGUCAUAGAAACAUUUUCUUGCCAAAAAUUUUCACAAAUGUGGCUUCAAUAUUGCUAGCCAAAAUGAUUUUGGCAGCCACAAGUCGCCUAAUGUUAAGGUUAGGCACCAACCAAACAGAAAGCUCCACCUCCCAGCUCCAAUCCAAGCAGCCGUCAGAGACAUACAGUACUAAUAAAACUUUUUUAGGGAAUGCUAUUGUUUCGCCCAAAAAGCAGAAACUGCAAGCACAAGUGCACAACAUGUUCAGUUCCCCAACUAUGCCUGAACUCUAAAACACACACAGAGAGAUCAAUACAAUUUCUUGAUUCAUAUGGCUCGUUCUUUCUAAUCAUGUGACACGGCAAAGUUCUUGCCGUUAUCCCGAAUAAAAAGAUAUAAUCCAUACGGCUGACAGAUAUCUCUAAAUAAACACAACUAGCAAUCAUAUUUACGCUGCAACCUCAGCACACAAGGAACGUCUGUAAGCAACUUGAAAAGAUGUGUCAUUAUCUCCUUACUCCUGCUUUUUCUCCAACACCACCUUCCUGCUGUCGAAGAAAAACAGUUUAGAACAAUUUAGAAGACGUGCAAGUUCCGUCAAGUUUAGCUAGAGACAUUAGUAGGUUUCAUGAAUUCAGCAGACAUAUACAAAUGAAGGGCGUGGUUGUAUCACGGUACAACAACCUGAGUAGCUACAGGACAUUUGGCCUGUUCGUUUCAGCUUAUUCAGCCGGUUUAUCAGCCACCAAACAGUAUUUUCCUUUCACAACAAAUCAGUCGUUUCAGCUUUUCAGCCGGCUUAUAAGCUGAAGCGAACAGGUCCGCCUUCAGGCAGUCACAUGAAGAUGCCACUCCUUGGCGUCUCGUUGCCCGGAGGAAUCACCAUGGCGAAGAAAUUGGAAGGCAGCUCCGUGAAAGUGAAGCCAUCCGAGCGUCACUACAUAAAACGAUUUGUAGGGCACCCCAUAUUUUAUUUUUAUAAGGAUAGGCGAAAUUGCUAUCCGCAUCUACAAAACGGAUCGCUAUUGUAGCAUACGACCUACCCGUGGAGAACCAUUUGUAGGGAUGGGCCACGGGACGACCCGCCCCUGGGGGGCGAUUUCGAUUUUCAUGGGCGGGCGAUGGGGUGUCCCGUCCAUGGAAAUCACAAUUUGCAAGGGGCGAGUGACGGUAUCACCCGCUCCCGAAAAUUAUUUCCAGUAACGAGUGAUGACGUGGGCCGCUUCUAGAAAUGGUACAAUUUCUUGAUGCAUGAAUGCGCCAUGAACAUCCUUAGCAGAACACUUUGCAUGGUGCCUCAUUGCCUUCUUGAAUGUGAAUAUGGCAAGAAACAAGUUCACAAAAAUAUAAACCGUAGCUCAAAAAAUAAGUGUCAUAUAUAAACCAACAUAUAAAUCAUGUCACAACUCAACAUAACCACAACCAAAUGAUAGAUCCCACAGAACAGAUAAGACAUGUCACAUUACAUAUAAAGUUUGUAGAUCACAACUCAACAUAACCAAAUAACAAAUUCCACGCAACAGAAACAAAACCAAGAUUCAUUGACAAAUAACACUACUACACUAUCCAUUUCUUCACUUAGCAUUAGCUACUCCUAAGGCAAAUAUCCCAAGCAUAACACCUACAAUCAAGGUCACAACAGUAGUGAUGACAGCCACGUUGCAUGCACCCCCAACAGUCUUUUUUUUCUGGCCACAACAGCCUUGUUUUCUUUCCCAAAAGAUGCUUCAACUCUCCCACUUCCAACUUUAGUUUAUUAACAUUCCCUUUCAUUUCUCCACACUGGAUCUUCAAUUCACACAUCUCCAUCUUCAGAUCACAAAUUGCCAAUUUUAUUUGACUUAUCUCAUUCAACAUGCCAUUGCUUGCCAACGGCUCAGGAGGCUGAAAUCCAGCACUUGACUGAGCUGCUGCUGUUCCUGGAGCAAUACCUGCCAAUUGAUAGUUUGGAGGCAUCGAAUGGGGAAAUUUUUUCCUUCAAAUGGUUCAAGUACUGAGGCUCAAACCAGUAUUGGUCAUAUAUUCUAGAAUCUCCCUACUUCAACAACACAAAUGCAACUCAACCCUUUGGUUCCAACACGGUUGAUUCCAUGAUGUUAGGGUUGCAAUCUUACCUUAGUGUUGUUGGGGUACUUGUAGAAGAUGUAGCCCCCAUUGCUCCUGAGCCAAAUCACCCUUAUUCCGCAUUUAUGGCAGUCGACGAGGGGAAGUUGCACGAACUGGUUGCGACUUGGUACCAACGAUGGGAAGCUGCUCGACAUAACCUUCACUUGCUUGUUCUCGACGGAUGUCGAGGAGCUAGAGGACAGUGAGAAGUUCAACAACUUGCCUUGCCCCCCUUGGCCUCCUUUGCGGCAGCGGAAGCUGUGGCGGCGUGCGGCAGCGGUGGAAGCUAUGGCGGUGUGGCUGCGACGGCGAAGGUGAAAGCAUACCGGCGGCAUGCCCGCAUGGAAGGAGGUGUCGUGGGAGGAGAGCGCCACGGUGGCGGCCCGAGCGCGGAAGGAGGCGCUGCGAAUGGAAGGCGCCGUGGGAGGAGGGAAGGAGGCGCGACGCUGCGGCAUGGCGGUGGAGGCGUCGCGGGGAGGCGCUGCGGCGGCGGAGCACGCGGGGGAGGGGAGCGGCGCCGGAGCGGGGGCGGAAGGAGGGGCCGGGGAAAUUUUGACAGCCUAACGGCGUCCCGCGGGCUUCUCCAAAAAUUUGGCUUAGUAACCGUGGGCGCCACUAUAUAUAUAGGGUGGCAUUAGCAGCACCUGGAAAUCAUUUCUUCAUUUUUUUUCUAAAAUGUAUUUUGGAGCUAUUAAAUGAUCUUAAAUGCAAAAGUUAUCAACUGCAAAGUUUAAUGUCUCGUUGAGCUCCACAAUUUUGAUAUAAAGUUUUUAUUUAUCCAAGAAGAAAUGAAAAUUUCAAAAAAUACAUUCACUAAACACAUUCACAUGUACUCACACAUAUACUCAUACAUUCACAUAUACUUUGCGGUGAAUAUGUGUGUUUAGUGGAUGUAUUUUUUUAAUACAAAAUAUUUUUAAUUUCAUCUCGGAUGGAUACAAACUUUAUAUCAAAAUUAUAGAGAUCAAUGAGAUAUUAAACUUUGCAGUUGACAACUUUUGCAUUUAAGAUCAUUUAAUAGCUCCAAAAUACAUUUUAGAAGAAAAAUAAAAAUGGAGAAAAUAUUUCCAGCCAUCACCCGCACUUGGAAAUCGUUUCUAGGGGCGGGUGGUGACGUCACCCGCCCCUGCUAAAUGGUAGCCUAUAUAUGGUGGCGCUCGCGGGGACUUAGCCAAAUUUUUUCUUGAAAAAUGUAGACGUUUAACAUUUGAAAUUAGGGUUCAACAUUUCGUUCAACUUUUUUUCGAAAAAAUGUUGGUGAACAUUUUUUUAUCCAACAUUUUUCCAGUUGAAAUGUUGAAUAGACCAUCAUCAGUUGGAUCUUGGUGGCUUUGAAAUGGAUCAGUUGGAUCUGGUGGCUUUGAAAUGGAACGGAACUGCGAAGCUAAGCUUUAUAUCAUCAGCUGGACCUUGGUGACUUUGAAACGGAACGGAACUCCGAAGCUAAGCUUUAGCUCAAACGCUUAUCCAUCUUACAGCCGGUAGACUAGUAGUAACAGGGUUCUCUAAAAAAAAUAAAAGUAGUAACAGGGGGAAUGUGCUUGAUAGGUGAUAGCAGCAUAAGAUCAUCUAGAAGUUUUUUCUCCAACAGAAAAGAUAAAGAGGUGCUGCCAGAUCCUUCACCGCAGCAACCGGCGGAGGUAACAAAUGACGCAUCAGCUGAAUGACUCAUACAACAAAUAGCACAUCGACUGAAGACACAUACAACGAAUAUGAGGAUGAGAACAAGGAACCUUUGCCAGCCUCAGGAGCUCAGGAUCAGUGAAUCCCUGACCCCGAGCGCUGCUGCAACCUGAGCAAGUCCAAAUUGCAAAUUCAACAGAUCAAUUUGAUUAAAUGACCACCAAUCCACCAUAUAUCCUCCAGCAAGCUGGUCACUAGUACUGUAUCAGAAGAUGUUUACAACAACCGAACAUCCUGGGGUUUCCAGACAACACCCAUUUUCAAGUUGCAUCUCGCUAUCAGAAACUGGCCUAAUAUACUCUUUCCCCAACAUGCAUAGUGCUUUUUUUUAAUAAUUUCUUCAACGAAAGGAGGACUUAAGUACAGCAGGGGCGACAGAACAGCUAGUAAGGUAGAGUAGAACAGCCAUUGAUAGCCCCCCUGUUGAAUUUGAUGCUGAGGUUUUGUCUAAUUGAAGAAACAGCAUUGCCACCUAACUAGAGAUUUUUUUCCUCCAGCUAAAGUCAAAAGUCCAAAAUUCAUACUCUGACACCACCUCUAUUCUGAAUCGCUCUCCAGGCUUAGAGCCUUCAAGCCUCUAGCCCUCUGCAUGAUGUUUCACUCAUGUAAGUAACAAGCAUUCAACGGAACAGAGGUAGAAUACAUGCUUCUUGAAGCAAAACAAAUUUAAUUGUAUCCAGGUUACCUUUUUUGAACUCUUCUUCUCUCGAACUUCAUAUCUCUCAUGUGACAGAUCUGACAACCAAGCUCCUGGGCUCACCAUCUGUGAUUAUACCGCAAAAUGAAUCAGACAACAGUGUAAAAAAACAGAGAGCACUAUAACAGCAACAAAGAAAACAGAAGUUGAAAUCAAGUUUUUGAGCUUGAUCAUUACAAGCAAGCACUUCUGCAUCAGCUUGGGUCUUUUCUUUGGCCUCUGUGGGAGCUUGCAGCCCUUCAUUGCCAUGAAAUCCUCCUCCUUCUCCUUGUUAGACAAUGCAAUGAAGAACCUUGGCAACGCAGUGGUUCCCUUGUCCUCUGUUAAACCACCAAAAUCGAACCCAUUCCCCUCAAAAGGAAAUGGAGAACCCCUAGUGGAGUAAUACCGGUCCUUCUCUGGGGAGAGUGCCAUUGACUGCUUGUACUCGUUCGCUGGUGAAUCCGAUUUCCUGCUCACAUAGUAAGGUAUUUUGAGCACUGUACUAGGGCACCUGCUGGUAUUGCAGCGGGCAAUUCGAAUAAAGCCUGAAUACACUGAAUCUACCUGCGUUGAAGGGUGCUUGGGCGGCGUGGCGAACGAAAUGGUGCAAUGUCAGCUCCGAGAAGAGGCCGGGUUGCACGGGGCACAACACGUCUAAGAACUUCAGAUGGCGAGGGUGAUGGUGAGCCGUCAUCGCGCGUCUUGACACAGCGCAGCCGCUUCCGGCUUCCCCAUUGCAGGAAGAGGUUUGGCUCGCUGGGAGACCUCGAGGGCCUUGAGUCCUUCACCUCCUGAUCCAUCCGUACCCUGAAAGUGAACGCAGGUAGUUAGGUACCGAGUAGAAACUUAAGUCAAUGGAGCAACUUCGGAUCAAAGUUCCAGUGGAUUUUGGGAAGAGAGGAGGAUGGGCACUCAAAUCAAAGCAAAAUCUUGCCCCGAAAUUCAUCAAAAAAAAAAUCCUGCCCAACACACGAAGCAAGUGCCCCCUCUCCAUCCAAACACCUAGUGCCCUCUUAUCUUACCAUCACCAGCUAGAAUGAGAAAAGAAAUAGAACUCGAUCUUAUCUGAGCACAUCUGCUUUGCACAAGGACUCUAGAAGGGGGAACGGAGCAUGCACUAGAACUAGAAAGCGGAGAAAAAUACUUGUUUUAUUCCAAAACAAAUCUAAUCCUUCUCUUCAAAAGGUAUCCGCUAGCUGAUACAAGCAAAUCAGACGCCCCCAAGCAGGGGCAGACCCAAGGAUGGCAAUCUUUACACAAAAAAACGAAGUUUGCCGGUUGUAAUACAUUUGCAACUUCGAAUUGGGUCAGAUCCGAAUACCAAUAGCUUUGGGGCGCUCAGUUUCGCACAGCGGGAAGGGACGAGAUGGGGCGGACGUACCGGGUGGGUGCUCGUCGGCGGCGAAGAGCCCGGCGAAGACGGGGCAAAGGGCGGCGCCGCUCGCCCAGUCGGCGCCGCAAGGCCACGAGAGAGAGGACAGGAAGGGGCAGGCAGGCAGACUGAGAGAGAGAGCUGCACGGGAGGAAAACAAAAGAUUAGGGGUGAAGGCGCACGCGGCACGCCGCAGUCAGCGACGCGCUCGGGCCGUGUCGAAGUAGUUCUCGUUCGGCCCAAGAAGGUCCCGUUCGAAUAAAAAGAAGCCUGGCCAUAUUUGCCGUGUUGGUUGUUUGUAGCACUCGGCCCAACGUUGGAUUGGGGCCUGGUCCGUUCGAACAAAAGCCUGAUCUGACCUGUGUGCGUGGGGGGCAUCUUCCAGCGUGAUCAGAAAUCUAGGGAAUCCAACGAAGGAGAAAAAAAAAUCAACCUUCACAUAUCCUAUAAAAACCACCCGGAGAUCUAGAGAAUUUACAAAUCACAGGGCAACUCUACCAUAUAUCACCAAAAAAAAUCUGAAAUUUAACUUAUCACCUAGCACUGCUACCACAUCACCACGCACCUGUACAACAUCACUUAGAGAGACAUGUAAUUUAACAUAUCGCGCUACCAUAUCAACAAGCAAUGCAAAUAUAACACAUUCACGGCGCGCGACACCAAACAAUCAUGUUAGGCAAGGAUCAUAGCAAUGAAUUACUUGGGAGACAUCUCCCAAAAAAAACACUUGUGGCCUGUUCGCUUCAGCUUAUAAGCCGGCUGAAAAGCUGAAACGGCUGAUUUGUUGUGAGAGGAAAACACUGUUUGGUGGCUGAUAAGCCGGCUGAAUAAGCUGAAGUGAACAGGCCGUUAGUUUUUAAUGUUUCACAGGUGCAUUAAGACUAAAUCGCUAUUAUAGAUAGGCAAUGAUUAUAGAUUGUAGUAAUAUCAUGAACUGCAAAAGCAAAACAAGCCACAUGAGAUAUCUUUGCCAAUUUGAACAUUGUCAUUAAUAUGUCACUAACCUAAUAAGUGCACAUCCAGCAUGGUACCCUGAUUCCAAUUCAUCCUUCACAACAAAAAAGAAGAAGCUUAGAGCAAUGAUAGGCUGAUAUCUAUGUCACGUUAGCUAGAGAAUUUCAAAACUUGUAAAUCAACCUAGCUAGAGAAAUAUAGAAGUAAGAUUUCACGAAUUCAAAAAGUAACUGAACAAUUCAAUCAAAUCAAGUGGUGCAGUGGUAAAACUUAUAAUUAACAAUUUGGGCAGCCGCAAGACUUUACUUCGGGUCAAUGACUAUUGGGUGAAGAUGUCUCUCAAAUUUCUUUGGCCUGGCAGUGAUAGGCGUCCAAACCAAUAGACUCUCGAGAUAGGCAGCUCAACAUUUACAGAUGUAAUCCUCCAUAGGAUCCUCCUUCUCUUAGGCUUCUUAUCACUACCAUCCACCAUCAGGAUGGAAAACUUGGGCUCCAUCGCCGGCAACUGUUCUUUCUUAAGCUUCACAGCCUCCAGAGAUCUUUGGCUAGGAACUUCUUAUAAUUCCUCCACAUAUUGGUUGCAGGAUCAAAGUUCCACACAGAGAUGUUGACAUCGCCAAGUGGCUAGGAAUGAUCAAUGUACACAAACUUGAUAAAGCUGACAACAUAGGCCAUCAUCCUGGUCAUGGGAAAUGCGUCUGAUAGCUCAAACCUGGGUUUCGUCCACCUCUCGUCAGGCGACCUAUGAACCCAAAAUCCACUACUGCACCACCGUCAGCUAGGGCCAAUUGCAGUGCGCGAGUCGCUUGUGCUACCGCUGCAGCUGCCCAGCGCAACUGCUCAGCUGCAAACCCCAAACAGCUGCAACCUGAUCACUAAAGCUAAUGACUUGCACAACAAACAAAUACAGAACCAAUAGUUUGUAUAGUAAAAGAACAGUCUCACUGUUCUGGUUGUUGUAUAGCUGCAGCAAGCUGUUCCGAGCACUGCCGACAUCGGCGGCGAACAAAUCCUGAAACGACUGCUCUGGGAGGUUCCACCUUAGCACAUGCUAUCGACACUGUUCGUCCGUAGGUGCAGGCAGUGACCAACACAGACAACAUCCUCCGUGCGCCGCUCCAUUUGCUUUCAUGCCGCAAAGCACGUCAUAGUUGACUCGGAUGUACAAGGCUGAGAUGAAGUCCGGGGUGGAGUCAAUGAGGCAGGCCUAGAGGGUGAGCCCCUCCACCACCCUCUGGCCAUGCACUUUGCAGCUGGAGGACUUCUUGAUCGGGCAGUUGAUGUUCGUCCACUCCUGCUGUAGCCACACAGGUUGCACGGGAGGCCUUUUUCAUAUCACGAAGCGCUUCAACUCGAACGAGGACGACACAUAUUUUGUCAGCGCGAGCCAUAGAUGGGGGAAAUACCGGGCUGUGGCCGCAACCACGGUUUUCGCACACGCGGCGGUGGCUAUGGCUAGCGCACGAAGUUGUACGGUGUAAGAGGAUGAGGGACCCACAUGCUUCGUUGCAUGCGGGAUUCACGUGGAUCCAACAGGUGGAUGGUGGAUGUAGUGUCAAAAAACAUAUUGUGACACGCGAAUACAACUUUUUUCCCAUUUUUCCAUUUAUACUCAAGUAAAUAUCAUUUAUGCGUAUAGGUCAUGUGCAUUAGUUGUUUAACAACAUUUGCAAAAAUUAUGACAAACAUUAUACAUAUAAAUUGUAUAUAUCAUAAAGGUUGUGCUACAAAAUUUAUUGUAAGGAAAAAUACGCAUGUAAAUUGUUUGUAUAAGUUAUGACUUUUUAAAAAUGAAAAUUUGAAGUUGUCCUUUAGAAUUGCACUUGGAAGUGCUACGCAUAAGUUAUGCAUUCCAUUAAAGUUGUGCUGAAAAAUUAUCUCAUAAGAAUUUUUAAUACGAAGUUAUGUGUAUAAGUUAUGAUAUUUCAAAAAAUAAAAAGUUGUUGGAAUUUAUUUUCCGAAAACUAGAAAGUUCGAAGAAGUGUAGUGGGCUGUCGGGAAUCAAGCAGCCCUCCUGGUGAGCGCGCUCCAUUAGUGUUGGUGCUGUUAUAUAUCAGCGAACGUGAUAAAAAAAAACCCCAUAGCAUUGGUGCUGCUAUAUAUCACCGAAGGUGAUAAAAAACCCACUGUUGCCUUCAUUUUCACCCAGCAGCUUCCUCCGCCUCGGCACAAUGAGUGGCCCACUCGAGGUCAUUCUCCUCCUUCGGUCCUUCCUCCCGAUGAACACAAUACCACCGCCUUCUUCCCCCGCGCCGCCAUCCUCCUCCAUCUCCGGUGGUAGGAGAUACCGGAUCCGCUGCCCCAUCGCCCUCUCCUCCAGUUCACACUCCUCUCUUCUCAUUCGCCCCCCGCACCAACCUCCUGCACUGUCUCCGACGGCUCCUGCCGUCAGAUUCGUCGCCACCGGCCGCCAUCGCUCUAACCCGGCUCUGCCGGGGAGCUCACCGCUAUGGCCCUACCUCCUCCACCGCCCAUCGAUUGUCCUCCACCACCUGCGGCUGGCGGCACCCCGCCGCCUCGCCACCACCUCCGGCUACCUUCCACCCAAGACUUCCCCUCUACAACCGGAAGCUCACCGGCGACCCUAACACCAUAGCAACCUGAAACCGAACCCUAAGCUCCUAACCCUAGCCAUGGCCUCAGCGGCUACGGGAGGAAGACGACGGCAACAUUGCUCGGCCAUCGUGGGCCGUCGUCCGCGCCUUCAUGCGACAACUUGCAAAUUUGUCGCCUUCACCCAUUAGCAUUGCCCGUGAUCAGAACAGUUGGCCAGGAAACCAGGUAUAACCACGCGGCAGCAUAUAGCAUACAGAUACUCGAGGACCAUCCCAACCAAAACGCGUGGACGUUUCGUUAGUUCAAACAUUCCUCCGAUCGCUCUAGCCUUCAGCACUCCGCUGGCUUUGAAAAGUGAACCCAGAUCGCUGACUACGAAUUUUGACGAACCCUGGACGAGUCAUUUCUUGACGCAAAGGAAGAGGACACACGGUCAGGCAGAAAAUCCUCUAGAAGAAGUCGAGACUCGUACGGCGCGUGCCCCCGGCCGAUUCAAAAAGUUCAUCUCCGUAUGACGCAGCCGGUCCGGUCCAAACACCGAAAGCAACGAGGCCGUCAACGCUUUCCAUCACCGUCUGGGCUUCGUUCCGUCCGACCGACGCCACACCUCACGUACUCCCUCAAGUCAUCAUCUGCGUCCCAGUCUGUAUCACAUGCUCUGCUGCAGCUGAACAGCCCUGCAUACUUGGUGGAGGGGAAAGGUAGGCGACGGAACCAACGCAACCUCUGACCUCUCUUUUCGGCAAACCAUGGCGUCGUGGCUGUUGCUCCGGAGGAUCCAAUCUGCUGGCCGUCUAUCCGGCGGCCAUGGCCGGCUGCUCAGCUUCAGGGGCGGCGAGGGGCUCUGCCGUCCUCUUCCCCCGGCGGGCGAGCCAUCAGUCUGCAGCAGUGCCUACGGGCAAAUCAAGACAGACACCAGGAUCACGGUUUGUUCCUUUCCUCCCUUUCUCAAGUUCAAUUCCAGAAUCAUAGGACCUAGUUAAAUUUCGGUUUUUCAUACCUUCCAAGAAGAAAUGCGUUCAGAUAAUUUCAUCUGGACCAUUUCUGUGUCUUCUUCUUUGCGUGUAUGUAUCCAUCGUUUCUGCUGAAAAGUCUUCUGAUGCUUAUUUCAAAAAAAAAAAACGGUCUUCUGAUGCUUGCUGCUUGCGAUAUACGUGCAGAACCAUGAGCCACAUCUCGACAGGUUUUCAGAUCCCCAGGUUGCUCAUGAGGACCGUCAGUUCAUUCAGUUCUUGGACAGGAUGCUGGAUGCGAUGAGGAACCCUCAAAGUCUUGCGCUAAUACAGCGUGGGAGGCUGGCAAGUGGGCUGAAAGCAUUGGAUGAUGACAUAUGAGCCAAGUUCCCUCUGCAGACAUACAAGAGCCGAAUAAACGUGAAAAUUUGUGUUGUGUAAAAUGAUCCUGCUGUGUUUUCUGACUAACAUUGCACAAGUUUAGUGUGUUGAGACUGAUGCUGUUUAGGUUCAUUCCUAGUGGAUGAGAACAUCAACUUACUUGAAGCAAUUUCAUCUCUGAAGUGGGAACUGUUUUUCAAUAUCAAAUUGCCAAUAAUCUAUAAUAAAUUGUAGGCUUACCUUUGCUCAAAUGUUUUGGCCAACUCAACGGCCAGUAGAAGCGAAGAAUACAUCAUCUGCACUCAUACUUGUGCCUAAGCUUUCAUGUUGGCAACAUGCUAGCAACUAGCACUUCAAGCAUCCGACAACAAUUAUCACAGGCUCACAGGAAGACAUCUGAACAUGCCAAGCUUCUCUUUGAAAAUGUCGAUAUCAAAUAAUAACUUUCCACAUUUUUUUCCUUUGGUCUUUCGCAUCUUUUAAUGCUUGAGAUCAGGUAGAUAUCCCUAAUUCCUUACUGGCUGCAUUGCAUAUGAUGCUUCAGAUGACAACAAAGGGUUGGCAAAAGAAUUAUGCUAUACAAAAUAAAGUAUUAAGUUUAAUUUAAAACUCGUACCUGGAGAAACAAAAAAGAUAAAUUAUGUUAAGGGGUAAAUUGAACCAAAUUGCAUAGUUUAGGGGUAAACUGAACCAAGAAAUAGUUUAGGGGUUAUCCAGACUUUGUCUAUAGUUGAGGGAAAUAAUUUAAAUUUUUUUCCUAAGUUUAAUAAGAAAGAAAGACAUAUAAACUAGGAACUGCAGAACUUGCACAGGAAAGUGUCACCAUUGGCCACUCAUGAAUCGAAUGAGCUUGCACACUGGUAUCAAGGCACCAUAUCACAUAUCAGUGCAAAAGAAAUGUAGGGACAACACACGGACCUGUCAGCAUGCCAUGGAACAAUUUUAAUUUCCGUAUAAGUGUUUGAACAGAAGAAAGAAAAAAUAAAGAGAAAUGGAAAUUUUAUUUCCGAUGACUUCUAGGUAUAUCCUCGCCAUAAAUAGGGAUGAAAGCAGUCGGGAACAGUUGGUUUUGAUUUCGUAUUUUUAUUCAGGAACAGGAACGAAAUCGGGAAAUCUCGGUCGGGAAAACGAAAUCGGAUAUACAAGAUAUCGGAAAUGAAAUAAUUCAAUCGCAAACACAUCGAGCAAAAACUAGGUAUUUCACUCUGAUGAUCUUUUCAUCUAUGUUCUAACAGUUUGUACUGUUUAGGAGCAAGCAGAGAAAAUAGGAUUGGAGGAAUAAAAAUACAAGACGUGAGGUGCCUACAAGAUGGGUUGAUUUGGCUGACCAUGGUAAAGAAGCUGCACAGCAUAUUUGGCUGCUGACUAUGAAACCUGUCAUUUACGUUGCUAAUGUUAUGUCACAGAACAAGACAUUCAAAUGUUGCUGAACCUGAUAGCAAUCCUCGUGUCAAAGAGGUGGCUAAAGCAGCAUCUGCCGUCCUGUCUGAGACCCUACGCAUCCAACGCCGCCUUUUGCUCGAUGCAGCCACAGCCCAAGACUGCAAGUCCAACCGCAAGAACCCGCCGCCGAGUCGUCCUUUUCGUUCACCGACGGCGACAGCGCGACUGUGAUGGGCAAUUGCAAUUUGCACCCCACGGCGCGCCAGCGAGUCAGCGCCGGCCGCGUCAGGAGCGGAUUGACGCCGGCGACCCCUCCACGAAGCCGCGAACGAACCAUGCUCUCCCCAUUCGUGGACCGGUCUCCCUGCGCACUCGCCGAACGGCCCAUGGGCCAUGGCCUUGACAGACUAGGCGACAGGGAGGAGGGACUUGCGGUUGGGAGAACAUAUCCUGUGUUACCACCCAUUAGGGUGUUACCGUGUUACCAAGUCCAAAAUACAUGUCUACAGUGAUCGAAACAUUCCAAUAAAAAUAUGAAUAGAUAGCUCAUGUCAUAUUAUACCAUCAUGAAAAAUUUGAGAUGCAAAAGAAACUUAUACAAGAUGCAACAAAAAAGUGAAAUCGGCACAUGAAUAGUGCUACUUGCAACUAUUCAUCACAGACCCGCAACCCGCUACUGUUUAUGUGCCGAUUUCAUUUUUUGUUGCAUCUUGUACAAAUUUCCGUUUCAUCUCAAAUUUUGCAUGAUGGUAGAGCUAUCUAUUCAUAUUUUUGUUGGAAUUUUUCGAGUAUUGUAGACAUGUAUUUGGGAUUUGGUAACACGGUAACACCCUAAUGGGUGGUAACACAGGAUAUGUUCUCUCGCGGUUGGCACUUGGCAAUACCACUACUGUCCAAGGAUCACACACAGAUCACCACUCGAAUCAGGUCUCAUCUGCACAUCAUGGUCUGCUAGUGCCAUCCGGCCCGCUGACUGCUGGUUACUCCAACGUAAACUGAUUACUGCGGACAAAAUCAAACAAACCGAAACUCCCUCUGCACGUCAUGGUAAAAUGCUUCUACUUUGCUACAGCCUACAGCAUGGAGUCUACUAGCAAAAGGGUUCAAUCUGCCAGCAAUCUGACACACAGGCGUUGCCUUUCCAUGCUCUCUGUUUGCAUUCGCAGGACCAGGAGCCCACAUCUCCGCAGGUUUUCCGAGGGAGACAAACUCUACCACAAUAUACGAAACCAUACAAAAUGGAAAAUAGCAGAUAUACAAAAUGAAACCAUCAACUCAAAUGAAAGGGCAGAUAUAUAGACAUCAUCAGCGAAGCAUAAGAGGACUCAUCAACUUGCAAACUGAGCAUUCCCAAGUACCAUAGUUGCCACCAGCAUUCAUUAAUUUUAUCCAUAUUAAGUCGACUUGAAACUUGUUCAGCUGUGUAGACGACAUAACAUAAUAGCUAACAUUAGACUUGUUCAGAAUAUUACAUAGUAGACCAUCAUCCCCCAGAAGAUCCAGAGGUGUACUGGAUAUGGCUGCUAUCAUUCAGGGAGCGACCAAGAGUCAGUCGGUGUUGAGGGACAGCUUCAAUCUUCAGGUUGAGAUAACUACCAAUCGCCUCUCAAAGGGAAAGAGACAGAUCCACAGUCAUCUACAAUCAAAACAAUUGAUGAUUUGAGAAUUUCUGAGAUGGAACACACCAGACAUACAGAUUUAAACUAAUAGGCACCACGUAACAGUUUCAUACCACAAUAAGUUGGACGCGAUUAAACUAUAGUUUUAUAACACCCAAAUGACAGAGAAAUGGGCACUUGAAAAAACCAAUUAAGAUCGACCGGGUCUGUCCCAAUUUUUGCAUCAGUCCAAAUUAUAGAUGUGGUUCAACACUUUUUAACCCACAGAAAAUACAUAUCAUAUCUACAACCGUACCUAACAAAAAUUUUCCCCAUCACCCACCAUGGAUGGAACGUCUACCGGAACUACUUCUCUCAGGGUGGUUCUUCUUCGGCGGUUCCUGCCUUCCCUGCUUCCACCGCCACCCCCGACGACGACGACUUGGAUCUUCUCUCCCAGACACCAUCGCAUGUACUGGCGGCCCCCAACCUCUCAGCUGGGAGGGUGCACAUGGAGAACCUGGAUCUCAACUCCCAGGGUGAGGGUUUCCCCUUCCUCGACGAGUACUCAGGUUGCCUGCAGUGGGAAGGAGGUCGCGGCGACCAAGGGCUACCUCGUCUUGGACCGAGCGGAGAUGGCGGCAGAUCCGGCACAUUCUAGCCUCCUCAAUAGCUUAAACCUGAAGUAAGGGAGGAUGUUCACAAAUAGGAAUUUGAACGUGCGAACGGAAUUGCAAAAGACACCGAUAGGUAAGACCAACUCUGACACAUCGGUGUUUUAUUAUGUCCAUAUCCUUUAUUUCUUAAAAUAUAUGUUUGUAUAUUUAUAUAGUUGACAAUUCAUCCUAUCACAUAUUUACCACAAUUUUCAAAUGGAUGGCUUAUUUUAUAGUACAUAGCCAGGUGGGAUAGUUCUCUAAACGUGCACAUCUAUACGGUGAGUAAAUAUACUUUGUUGUACGUUCCUUUGUGAUUUUACAAUAUACGAUAAAUCCCAUCACACAAGAGCUUUACUUGAAGUAAAAACUCACCUUAUGUAUAGGAUGCUAUUACGAUGCGGCGUAACUUCUUCAUCGAUCUUUUGGCGCACGAAGUGAAUGCCUAGAAGACAAGACUACCUGGCAUUGUAAAACAUUAUCUUUGGCGCAUCACAGGCAAAAAAUUAGGAUAGAUGGGGGUGGUCCUUGGAUGACCUGUCGUACCAUGCUUUGUUCAAUGCCAUAGCUACGAUUAUCUAUAUUCGUACUUGUUUCCACGUGAUUAUUUUCCUGCUGAAUCCAAUGUUGAAAGUUGUUCAAGUUGCUGUUGGAGCUUGCUAGAAACGAAUACAAUGUAAAGGUGAUUAACUAUCAUAUAUCGUUUAGGAAUUGGUCACAUGAUUGUUCUUUUGCAAGUUAAGAUAAAAAAACAUCCAAGCAUACUGUCCUUAUGUUAUUACUCAUUGCAAAGUCAUUUUUUGUUUCACAUUGGAGGCAUUUCAAAGUUAUUACUCAUUCCAAGGUUGUAUGACUUAAUUAAAAUAUAGUGUUGGAAUUAGCUGAAACCUUGCAGAAACAUAAUGCAUUUGUCCAGGAAAAAAAUGCAGUUUGUAGAAGCAAAUAUUUUACACGAUAAUGUUUGAUGCUUAUAGACGAAAUUUGUUUUGCCCGCAGCAACAUACGGGCACAAUCCUAGUUAAGAUAAAAAGGAAAAACAAAGCUUAAGUUAACGAGUUGUGCCUACAUAAACUCAGAAGGUACCCUUAGUUCAUUAUCUCGCAGCCUAGUAUAGACAACAAUGUGAAGUACGAGAAUUUAUAGUAAAAUUACUGAUAUAAGUUUGAGAAUCAUACAAUUUAAGUGUACAAAAGUAUUAUUGUAUCAAGAACGUAUAUUCAGAAUCACUUGAUGUAUGCAUAGUUCCAUCUUCUUCAUCCUACUCUUAACUAUUUAGGUGCCCAGGUGUUGCAACGGCUUCUAAUUUCCUACACCCCCACAUAAUUCAUUCUUCAUAUGAUGAGAAUGUGAAUUAAAAUAUGACAUUUAUUGGUACUAGGGUUACUCUUGAUAAUACAACCAAUUUUGCAAUGACAUGAGGACCUAUGGUUAAACAAUACGCUGUAAUAGUUUUGGGAAAACAAUGGUCGAUUACCGUGGUUUGCACUUUACUAAAUCAACAACAGGUUACGUAUAGACUAAGUAGCACCUUUGUAUAUACAAAUUUGACCAGUGGCUGAAUAGUACCUGCUUCAGACAGAUAAGGGAAAAAACAACAAUACAGGUUUCAAAAUAAAAAUGGUUUCAUGUCAAACAAGAGAGAGGAAUUAAAUGGGUUAAAACGACAGAUUUAAUCAGAGAAAACAAGUCGCAAGAUUGUCCUUAACAACAAUUUUUCACACGUACAAUCCCAUCUACGCGAGCGGAGGAGACGAGCCCGCUGGGCUCUGCAGCGACGUGCGUACUGGUGCUGGUCCUCCCUCGUCGUCGCGCUGCCGUGUUCCGGUGCAGCCCCCGCCCUGCUUGCUUCUUUUCUCCUCGGUCGCCGGCGAAAAGAGGUUUGCCUCCGGUCGCCCUUGGCAGAACGCGCACUGCAUACUGCGUGGCAGGCGCCAGGCGGCCAGCCCCGACCAGCUGAUCUCUGCCUGCCUGGCCUUUGCGCAGCGCCCAUUCCCCCCUGCCCGGCUGCCCGCCCCUGGGCGGCCAAAUCUGGCCAUGUGGCCUUGCAGCGUGCGCUGUUUCGCCAGGCUAGAGACGGAGGGAGAUCAUGCUCCGAACGUUCAUGGACACGUCUAUCUACCUAGGAUUGCUGCUACAGGUUUGGUUUGAAUUGGUAUACGUGAGCGAGUCUAGCUUAGGAAUAACAGCGUACAUUUUUUUUUUAAAAAAAGAAGAAAAUAGCAACGUGCAUAUACGGUGGAUAAUGCAUAGCCAGCAUAGGGUACCUUAUCUGCGAUCGAGCCGUUUGAAGUUUUAACUGCGUAUUAUACGGAAAUAUCAGCCACGUACGUGUAAUCAGCCGUUGUCGUGUCCUGGCUACGUACGCUGCUUCGGAAGAAGGCGUCCGCUGCGGUGAUCGCGUGAGCGGCAAGGCCACGUGGCCGGGCGGGCGGUUGGCAGGGAUCAGCUGGACAGGGCUGGCCGGUGACGACGCUGCAUGCAGCAGAGGGCGCGGCAGGAUAGCGCGUCGCGCCAAGGGCGCCCAGACGCGAAUCCUGUUUUUCCGGCGACCGAGGCGAAAAGCAACCGCCCCCUCCCCUCCCUCGCCCGGCGUCCGCUUGCCAUUCCCGUCUCGUCUCUCGUGAAUGCGCGCGGCGCGGCGCGGUUGGUGGCAAAAAGCAAGCAAGGUGGCCAGGCGGGGGGGUGCGGGGUGCGAGCCGUGCUGCGUCGGUGAUCCUGCGCCGGGACGGGCCGAGCGGCACACGGCACCGCGCGCAGGCGGCGAGACGGUGGUGGCAGGAGCCCGGCCGGCCUGCUGCCCCGCUGCAGGCGACGACGCGGACCACCACGUCGCAGGUAGCGCGCGCUCUCGUCUCGUUCGCUCGCACGGUCGCCCUCGCCCUCGCGCGUGCAUGUAGCCACACGUGGCACGCGGCGACACGUACCAGAUCGAGGCGCCGUAGCCAAGAUGGGAUGGGAAGGCUUCUUCUCGAGUCUUGGAUGCGGUGUCCUCUUCCUGGCUUUUGUCCUCUUCUCCCAAGUCACGGCCAAGAGGGGAGCGAGGGUUCUACUAUAUUUAUCUCCUUUUCCCCCUUUUGUUUUCAUGAAGGAAAUUACUGCAAACUUAGGCUGUCUGAAGCCCUGAACUCCUAUUUUUUUUCUUUGUAAACCAUAGCUUAUCAUUUUGGUGCAUGUUUUGCGAUGGGUGGUCUCAAAAAUUCGAAAAAUAAAUUUGAACACCAAACGAUCGAUGUCCUUGCCACGUACACGUAGUUUGAUGAGGCUUUUCCUCCUUUUUGAAGGUGCCAGUUCCAUUGGAUCUGAAAAGCACACCUUUUACAUUGGUAAAAGAUAAAAAUUUACAAAACAGUUGCUUGUGGUAUGCUUUUGGUUAAACACAUGCGGGUUAAUUCAGACGUUGGAGUUAUGUGUUGAAGCGGUUUUGCAGGAGAGGGUCUUUUAUGCUGUGCUUGUUAGGAAGGAGUAGCACUGGUUUUGAGCUUCGUUUGUAAAAUGGUAACCCUAGUCAUGGUGUAAUACUCUUACAUUAUGGUUUCUAUGAAGCUAUAGACUGCAAAGUCUGUUACCCAAAAAGAUAAAAAUUAAAAUUACACGACUUGUUCACUCGAUAUACCAUAAAGGUGCAUGUGCAUGCACUCAACAUUAAAGAAAAAGAUCAAAACCCAUCAGAUAAACAUCUCCUGUUACUUCCUACACGGAGACAAAAAGGAAAAAAAAAA